rnacentral:lncRNA from 1 species
AAUAUGUGACCACCUUGACUAGAGAUACUGAUGUGAGGGUAACAUGGUCAAGUGGCCCACUGAGGCAGGACAGUGUGCCCAGCUCACUGUUACCUGACAGCAGAUGACAGAGAACGGGUCCAAAGCCACGUUAGGGCAGCUUCCAGUGGUUCCUUGUAAUUGAGGCCCUGCAGGAAUGUGAGAGGAGUGGAGGAGUAAUUGCAGACAAGAGGAGAGUCAAGCUGAACCCAGGUUGAGAAGGGCCUUGUGAAAUAAAGAGGAAGAGUUUCCUCUGAGAAGCAAUGGGCAUCUGUCAAAUGUGCUUAAGCUGGGUUGGGACAUGGUCCGACUGGGUUAGAGAAAGAUGAUUCUGGAUGCAGAGUGAAGAUGGUUUGGAAGUGCGGAAACUGAGGCAUCCAAUAAGGGCAGUUUGGCGUGAGUCUGGACAGAAAUCAUACAAGGUGAGCAGGAUGGUAGCAACAAGGACCCCAUGGAGAAGGAUGGAUGUUGAGUCAUUUAGCAGUUAGAAUUGUCUGAACCUGUUGCUGAAGGAAACCGAGGCGUUGAGGUGGUUGUGGGCUCCAAGAGAAGGUAACUGGGGAAGUGGCGCCUUUAACGAAAUCCAAGAUCCUGGGGAGGGAGUUUGGGAAGAUCACGACUUAGUGACUGGGCGUUUCCCAGGUCAAGACCCUGUGUCAGGUGUGCUAGUAAGGAUGGUUAGUAAGCCUGCGUCUCUGCUGCGUCUGGCCUGCAGCACGUGCUGGUUGAAUUGACUUUAAUGAAAACUCAAUGUGCUCUAUUGAAACAAAGCCCUGAUUUUAACCAGUGAGGGAAAAGAAUCCCAGUGUCUGGCAACAGCAUUGGUCUUAGCUCCAGACCCACAGGAUCACAAAGCUAGCUCUGAAAGGGGAAAACGAAAGGCAGGAGAAUGGGCACCUCCUCUCCUUCCAAUGGGGGCACGUUUGCUCCCAUUUGGGGGUGUCUGGUUCCAUGUAAGCCUGUGCGGAUGGCCGUGACUCUGAGGUGGCUCCACGUUCUCAACUCCGACAGCCGUUGGUGAUGUGCACGCUGUGGCCCUGCUCCCCAGGAAUGCUCUUCCCUACCUCGUCUGACCGGGGGCUGGGAUCGGCUCUUCUGAAACAAACGCGGUCCCAGUGAAGAUAUUCAUCUCCUUUGAAGGAGGAGCUUGAAGGGAAACAGUUUGCAGUAACUAUUUCUGUCUGUGCCUUUGUGCAGCUGCCAUAUGAAAGUGAAGUCCCUUAAAAAAAUUCUUGGAGAUGUUCAUGCUCAGGUUAAGGGUCUUCCUGUCAUCCUUCCGACCUCUGGUAUGUGGCUGCUCUUGUGGGAAAACAGCAGAGCCUGGCUAGGACGGCAGGGCCCCUAUCACAGGGUUACCAUCAGAUGAAGAAACUGAGGCUCAGGUGAAACAACUUGCUGGAGUCCCAUAGCUUCUCCACUCCGGAGCCCACACCUGUACACAGAACCAUCUUUUGUCUCUGAAAAGGGGUCAUGAUGGCUCCUUUGUAGGGCUGAAGACAAUCUUCACUCAUUCUGGGAUAACUUCAAAGACUAUCUGAUGAUGCCUGGGAUGGGUUCAGUACGGGGCUGACACACAGCAGGCCCUCAUUAUGUCACCCAGUUCUUCCUGGGGUUUAAUCUGACCCAGGCCCCAGGCCUCAAGGGGGGAGGCCUCGUGGGGUCCAGCUUCUUCAGCCUCUGUCCCACCCACCAGGGAGCUCGCUCUCCUCUCACAUCCCAACUGCCUUCCCCUCGGUCACUCCAAGUUGAAAGAAAAUGAAAACCAGGCCUCCUGUCAGGGCUUUGACAGCCGAGGCUGUAUCUCUUCCAUCUCUGUUACUCCAGAAAGGUCUGGAAUGGUGCAUCUAGUUAAUAUAAAUAGCCUCAGAGCUGAACUGUGCACCCUUUCAGCCUCAUGGGUCACAGAGGUUUUCUUUCUCUCCAUCGCUCCCUUCACACCUAUGAAUGCUUAACCAGGGCACCAUCCCAUCCUCAUGUCAGACCUGAGUGGUGGACGUCCCCACCCCUAUUUUUAAAUCUGAGUCAAUAGACGCUCAGGAGGGGAGUGACGGGUAGUUGGUUGUCCAGCAUGAGAACAAGCCUCUGGAAGAAGUA